AUUUUGCUCAAGCCUGGCCUACAAA
rnacentral:siRNA from 1 species